rnacentral:rRNA from 1 species
UGGGGAAUAUUGGACAAUGGGCGCAAGCCUGAUCCAGCCAUGCCGCGUGAGUGAUGAAGGCCCUAGGGUUGUAAAGCUCUUUCACCGGUGAAGAUAAUGACGGUAACCGGAGAAGAAGCCCCGGCUAACUUCGUGCCAGCAGCCGCGGUAAUACGAAGGGGGCUAGCGUUGUUCGGAUUUACUGGGCGUACAGCGCACGUAGGCGGACUUUUAAGUCAGGGGUGAAAUCCCGGGGCUCAACCCCGGAACUGCCUUUGAUACUGGAAGUCUUGAGUAUGGUAGAGGUGAGUGGAAUUCCGAGUGUAGAGGUGAAAUUCGUAGAUAUUCGGAGGAACGCCAGUGGCGAAGGCGGCUCACUGGAACAUUACUGACGCUGAGGUGCGAAAGCGUGGGGAGCAAACAGG